rnacentral:tRNA from 1 species
GCCUCGGUAGUGUAAUGGGUCAGAACGGCAGGCCGAAUGUCUAUAAGUGCGGGUUCGAGUCCCGCCUGAUGUC